UUUGUGAGUAACCUGCCCCUGACUCUGGGAUAAGCCUGGGAAACCGGGUCUAAUACCGGAUAUGACACUCCUCCGCAUGGUGUGGGUGUGGAAAGUUUUUUCGGUUGGGGAUGGACUCGCGGCCUAUCAGCUUGUUGGUGGGGUGAUGGCCUACCAAGGCGACGACGGGUAGCCGGCCUGAGAGGGCGACCGGCCACACUGGGACUGAGACACGGCCCAGACUCCUACGGGAGGCAGCAGUGGGGAAUAUUGCGCAAUGGGCGAAAGCCUGACGCAGCGACGCCGCGUGGGGGAUGACGGCCUUCGGGUUGUAAACCUCUUUCAGCAGGGACGAAGUUGACGUGUACCUGUAGAAGAAGCGCCGGCUAACUACGUGCCAGCAGCCGCGGUAAUACGUAGGGCGCGAGCGUUGUCCGGAAUUAUUGGGCGUAAAGAGCUCGUAGGUGGCUU
rnacentral:rRNA from 1 species